rnacentral:rRNA from 1 species
AAGCUUGCUUCUUUGCUGACGAGUGGCGGACGGGUGAGUAACGCGUGGGAAUCUACCUCGUAGUUGGGGAUAGCCCGGAGAAAUCCGGAUUAAUACCGAAUAAGAUCUACGGAUGAAAAGGUGCCUCUGCUUGCAAGCACUUGCUAUGAGAUGAGCCCGCGUUAGAUUAGUUAGUUGGUGGGGUAAUGGCCUACCAAGACGACGAUCUAUAGCUGGUUUGAGAGGAUGAUCAGCCACAUUGGGACUGAGACACGGCCCAGACUCCUACGGGAGGCAGCAGUGGGGAAUAUUGGACAAUGGGCGAAAGCCUGAUCCAGCAAUACCGCGUGUGUGAAGAAGGCCUUCGGGUUGUAAAGCACUUUUAUGUAGGAAGAAGGAUUGAGUGUUAAUAGCGCUUGAUUUUGACGGUACUACAGGAAUAAGCACCGGCUAACUCCGUGCCAGCAGCCGCGGUAAUACGGAGGGUGCGAGCGUUAAUCGGAAUUACUGGGCGUAAAGGGUACGUAGGCGGCUUGAUAAGUCAGAUGUGAAAUCCCCGGGCUUAACCUGGGAACUGCAUUUGAAACUGUCUGGCUAGAGUGAGUGAGAGGUUAGUGGAAUUCAAGGCGUAGCGGUGAAAUGCGUAGAGGUCUUGAGGAACAUCAGUGGCGAAGGCGACUAACUGGCACUACACUGACGCUGAGGUACGAAAGCGUGGGGAGCGAACAGGAUUAGAUACCCUGGUAGUCCACGCCCUAAACGAUGAGGACUGGCUGUUGGCGCUAUAGACGCGUCGGUAGCGAAGCUAACGCGUUAAGUUCUCCGCCUGGGGAGUACGGCCGCAAGGCUGAAACUCAAAGGAAUUGACGGGGGCCCGCACAAGCGGUGGAGCAUGUGGUUUAAUUCGAUGCAACGCGAAGAACCUUACCAUCCCUUGACAUCCUCAGAAUGAUCUGUAAUCGAUCAGUGCCUUCGGGAACUGAGUGACAGGUGCUGCACGGCUGUCGUCAGCUCGUGUCGUGAGAUGUUGGGUUAAGUCCC